rnacentral:tRNA from 1 species
GCGCGAUUGGCGGAAUUGGUAGACGCAGUUGGUUUAGGUCCAACCGCUUCGGCGUGGGGGUUCGAGUCCCUCAUCGCGCACCA